rnacentral:rRNA from 1 species
UAAACUUGGGGCUUGAUACCCUAUUAUACCAGUCCUAGAAAAACAUACUUGGGUAGUAAUUAGUUAUGGGCUUGAAAUCUAAAGAAUUUGGCGGUAUUUUAGUCUGGUUAGAGGAACUUGUCCUGUAAAUGAUACACCUCGCAGGAUCUUACUUUAUUUUGUCGACAGUUUGUAUACCGCCAUGAUUUGGUCAUAUUUUAAAAUAUUUUCCCCGAUAAGUAAAUUUUAGUACAUUAGGUCAAGGUGCAGCUAAUAAUAAAGUGUGAGAUGAGUUACAAUAUAAUUCUAUAUAAACAGAUGCGAAAUUUUAACAUUUCUUGGAAGGCGGAUUUAAUAGUAAUUUUAUUUUAAUAAGAUAUAAUGAUUAUUAGCUCUAAAAUAUGUACACCCCCCCCCCUCUUA